rnacentral:rRNA from 1 species
GAGCGGCGAACGGGUGAGUAACACGUGAGUAACCUGCCCCUGACUCUGGGAUAAGCCCGGGAAACUGGGUCUAAUACCGGAUACGACACCUCCCGGCAUCGGGUGGGUGUGGAAAGUUUUUUCGGUCGGGGAUGGACUCGCGGCCUAUCAGCUUGUUGGNGGGGUAACGGCCUACCAAGGCGACGACGGGUAGCCGGCCUGAGAGGGCGACCGGCCACACUGGGACUGAGACACGGCCCANACUCCUACGGGAGGCAGCAGUGGGGAAUAUUGCGCAAUGGGCGAAAGCCUGACGCAGCGACGCCGCGUGGGGGAUGACGGCCUUCGGGUUGUAAACCUCUUUCAGCAGGGACGAAGUUGACGUGUACCUGCAGAAGAAGCGCCGGCUAACUACGUGCCAGCAGCCGCGGUAAUACGUAGGGCGCAAGCGUUGUCCGGAAUUAUUGGGCGUAAAGAGCUCGUAGGUGGCUUGUCACGUCGGGNGUGAAAGCUUGGGGCUUAACUCCAGGUCUGCAUUCGAUACGGNCUGGNUAGAGGUAGGUAGGGGAGAACGGAAUUCCUGGUGA